rnacentral:rRNA from 1 species
UAGGAAUUGGCGGGGGAGCACUACAACGGGUGGAGCCUGCGGUUCAAUUGGAUUCAACGCCGGAAAGCUUACCGGGUCAGACAGCAAUAUGAAGGUCAAGCUAAAGACUUUACCGAAUUCGCUGAGAGGAGGUGCAUGGCCGUCGUCAGUUCGUAUCGUGAGACAUCCUGUUAAAUCAGGCAACGAGCAAGACCCGUGCCCACAGUUGCCAGCAUACCCUCCGGGGUGAUGGGCACACUGUGGGGACCGCCGCUGCUAAAGCGGAGGAAGGCGCGGGCUACGGUAGGUCAGUAUGCCCCGAAUCGUCCGGGCUACACGCGGGCUACAAUGGUUGGGACAAUGGGCACCUACACCGAGAGGUGAUGGUAAUCUCCUAAACCCAGCCUUAGUUCGGAUUGAGGGCUGCAACUCGCCCUCAUGAAGCCGGAAUCCGUAGUAAUCGCGUAUCAAUAUCACGCGGUGAAUACGUCCCUGCUCCUUGCACACACCGCCCGUCAAACCAUGCGAGUGAGGUCUGAAUGAGGGCACGCUUUUUGGCGUGUUCGAAUUUGGGCUUCGCGAGUGGGGUUAAGUCGUAACAAG